GACAGAUGGAAAAGCAAGGGGAAGGAAGUGUUUUUGAAGCGCCAUCAAGAGAAGGAAGAGUUCAGAUUCUGCUGCAGAGCCCAGCUGUGAACAAGUCAGGAGCUCCCACCUGUACCCGAAAACCGGAGGAGAGGGAAGUAGGCUAGAACCCAACACAGUGCUUCCGGAAAGCACUUCAGAAGGCAAAGGAGCAAGCUGAGGAAAGAUGUCUCUGCUGUCUCACUGAGCUCCCUGCAGGGAAACUGACUCUCAGGUGAGUGUUUCUCUGACUGCGUUUCCUGGCAUAGCAACACCACUUCAUGCGAGUUCACCCGGGAGUGACCAGCCCCUGG